UAGUUCAUUUUCAAUUAGGAACCUGGUGCUUCCCUAUCGGUUCAAAAUAUUACACCUUUUUGCGAGGUGUAGAACGAUUAUGAAGGAGCUGCCCGGUUAAAUUUGGUGUUAUUACCUAACGCUUACUAUUAAGCGAAGUGUUGGCUUUACGAAUUAGAAAAUCAAGGUGCAAAUGAGUAGUAGCUCGGGUUUUGUUACACUCUACCUUCAAAGAGAUGAUGAGGGUUCAAAUACUUUAAACAAAAGUGAAAAAUAGACUGGAAACAGAAGUUAAGUAGUCUUCAAAAGUUGGUACUUUUGUUAUAUAUAUAUUGUUGUGUUAACUGUCAAUCAAGAUGUAGUUUAUUU